GCUGGGAGCAGUGGCUCACGCCUGUAAUCCCAGCUACUUGGGAGACUGAAGCAGGAGAAUCAAUUGAACCUGGGAGGUGGAGGUUGCAGUGAGCUGAGAUCACUCCACUGCACUCCAGCCUGGGUGACAGAGUGAAAUUCUGUCACCAAAAAANNNNNNNNNNUUUUUUGGUGACAGAAUUUCACUCUGUCACCCAGGCUGGAGUGCAGUGGAGUGAUCUCAGCUCACUGCAACCUCCACCUCCCAGGUUCAAUUGAUUCUCCUGCUUCAGU
rnacentral:SRP_RNA from 1 species